rnacentral:rRNA from 1 species
GACGAACGCUGGCGGCGUGCCUAAUACAUGCAAGUAGAACGCACAGUUUAUACCGUAGCUUGCUACACCAUACACUGUGAGUUGCGAACGGGUGAGUAACGCGUAGGUAACCUGCCUGGUAGCGGGGGAUAACUAUUGGAAACGAUAGCUAAUACCGCAUAAUAUUGAUUAUUGCAUGAUAAUUGAUUGAAAGAUGCUAUUGCAUCACUACCAGAUGGACCUGCGUUGUAUUAGCUAGUAGGUGAGGUAACGGCUCACCUAGGCGACGAUACAUAGCCGACCUGGGAGGGUGGUCGGCCACACUGGGACUGAGACACGGCCCAGACUCCUACGGGAGGCAGCAGUAGGGAAUCUUCGGCAAGGGACGAAAGUCUGACCGAGCAACGCCGCGUGAGUGAAGAAGGUUUUCGGAUCGGAAAGCUCUGUUGUAAGAGAAGAACGGGUGUGAGAGUGGAAAGUUCACACUGUGACGGUAUCUUACCAGAAAGGGACGGCUAACUACGUG